AGUGAACGCUGGCGGUAGGCCUAACACAUGCAAGUCGAACGGCAGCACAGUAAGAGCUUGCUCUUACGGGUGGCGAGUGGCGGACGGGUGAGGAAUACAUCGGAAUCUACUUUUUCGUGGGGGAUAACGUAGGGAAACUUACGCUAAUACCGCAUACGACCUACGGGUGAAAGUAGGGGAUCUUCGGACCUUGCGCGAUUGAUUGAGCCGAUGUCGGAUUAGCUAGUUGGCGGGGUAAAGGCCCACCAAGGCGACGAUCCGUAGCUGGUCUGAGAGGAUGAUCAGCCACACUGGAACUGAGACACGGUCCAGACUCCUACGGGAGGCAGCAGUGGGGAAUAUUGGACAAUGGGCGCAAGCCUGAUCCAGCCAUACCGCGUGGGUGAAGAAGGCCUUCGGGUUGUAAAGCCCUUUUGUUGGGAAAGAAAAGCAGCAGGUUAAUACCCCGCUGUUCUGACGGUACCCAAAGAAUAAGCACCGGCUAACUUCGUG
rnacentral:rRNA from 1 species